AUUGAACGCUGGCGGCAUGCCUUACACAUGCAAGUCGAACGGUAACGCGGGGCAACCUGGCGACGAGCGGCGAACGGGUGAGUAACACAUCGGAACGUGUCCCAUGGUGGGGGAUAACCUGGCGAAAGCCAGGCUAAUACCGCAUGGUCUCGAGAGAGCAAAGCGGGGGAUCGCAAGACCUCGCGCCCUGGGAGCGGCCGAUGUCCGAUUAGCUAGUUGGUAGGGUAAAGGCCUACCAAGGCGACGAUCGGUAGCUGGUCUGAGAGGAUGAUCAGCCAAACUGGGACUGAGACACGGCCCAGACUCCUACGGGAGGCAGAAGUGGGGAAUUUUGGACAAUGGGGGCAACCCUGAUCCAGCCAUGCCGCGUGAGUGAAGAAAGCCUUCGGGUUGUAAAGCUCUUUCGGUGGGAACGAAAUGGCCGCGGAUAACACCCGCGGUCGAUGACGGUACUCACAGAAGAAGCACCGGCUAACUACGUGCCAGCAGCCGCCGUAAGAC
rnacentral:rRNA from 1 species